CAGCAGCCGCGGGAAUACGUAGGUGGCAAGCGUUGUCCGGAAUUAUUGGGCGUAAAGCGCGCGCAGGCGGAUAGGUCAGUCUGUCUUAAAAGUUCGGGGCUUAACCCCGUGAUGGGAUGGAAACUGCCAAUCUAGAGUAUCGGAGAGGAAAGUGGAAUUCCUAGUGUAGCGGUGAAAUGCGUAGAUAUUAGGAAGAACACCAGUGGCAAAGGCGACUUUCUGGACGAAAACUGACGCUGAGGCGCGAAAGCCAGGGGAGCGAACGGGAUUAGAGACCCCUGUAGUCCCUGUCUCUUAUACC
rnacentral:rRNA from 1 species